CUGUAGACAUACGGUGGUGGGGGAGAUUUGUAGUCUACCUUCGGGGAAGGUGAGUAGUAUGGUGGUGGUGGUGAGCUAUAGACGUACGGUGGUGGAGGAGAUUUGUAGUCUACUUUAGGGGAAGGUGAGUAGUAUGGUGGUGGUGGUGAGCUGUAGACGUACGGUGGUGGGGGAGAUUUGUAGUCUACCUUAGGGGAAGGUGAGUAGUAUGGUGGUGGUGGUGAGCUGUAGACGUACGGUGGUGGGGGAGACUUGUAAACUACUUUAGGAGAAGGAGAGUAGUAUGGUGGUGGUGGUGAGCUGUAGACGUACGGUGGUGGGGGAGACUUGUAGACUACCUUAGGAGAAGGAGAGUAGUAUGGUGGUGGUGGAGAACUGUAGACAUACGGUGGUGGAGGAGACUUGUAGACUACCUUAGGAGAAGGAGAAUAAUAUGGUGGUGGUGGAGAACUGUAAACGUAUGGUGGUGGGGGAGACUUGUAGACUACCUUAGGAGAAGGAGAGUAGUAUGGUGGUGGUGGAGAACUGUAGACAUACGGUGGUGGGGGAGACUUGUAGACUACCUUAGGAGAAGGAGAAUAGUAUGGAGGUGGUGGAGAACUGUAAACAUACGGUGGUGGGGGAGACUUGUAGACUACCUUAGGAGAAGGAGAGUAGUAUGGUGGUGGUGGAGAACUAUAGACAUACGGUGGUGGGGGAGACUUGUAGUGUACCUUAGGGGAAGGAGAGUAAUAUGGUGGUGGUGGAGAACUGUAGACAUACGGUGGUGGGGGAGACUUGUAGUGUACCUUAGGAGAAGGAGAGUGAUAUGGUGGUGGUGGAGAACUGUAAACGUACGGUGGUGGGGAGGACUUGUACACAACCUUUGGAGAUGGAGAAUAACAUGGAGGAGGUGGUGGACAGACACAUACAUGAGGGUGUGGUGGAGAUUUGUAUAGAACCUUAGGGGAUGGUGCGUGGUAUGGUGAUGGAGGAGACUUGUAGUAUACUUUAGGAGAAGGGGAGUAGUAUGGUGGUGGUGGAGAACUGUAAACGUAUGGUGGUGGGGGAGACUUGUAGACUACCUUAGGAGAAGGAGAGUAGUAUGGUGGUGGUGGAGAACUGUAGACAUACGGUGGUGGGGGAGACUUGUAGACUACCUUAGGAGAAGGAGAGUAGUAUGGAGGUGGUGGAGAACUGUAAACAUACGGUGGUGGGGGAGACUUGUAGACUACCUUAGGAGAAGGAGAGUAGUAUGGUGGUGGUGGAGAACUGUAGACAUACGGUGGUGGGGGAGACUUGUAUAAAACCUUUGGUGAAGGAGAGUAGUACGGUGGUGGUGGAGAACUGUAAACAUAUGGUGGUGGAGGAGACUUGUAGUCUACCUUAGGGGAUGGUGAAUAGUAUGGUGGUGGAGGAGAACUGUAAACAUAUGGUGGAGGAGGAGAUUUGUAUACAACCUUUGGAGAUGGCGAGUAGUAUGGUGGUGGAGGAGAACUGUAAACAUAUGGUGGAGGAGGAGAUUUGUAGUCUACCUUAGGGGAUGGUGAGUAGUAUGGUGGUGGUGGGGAACUGUAAACAUAUGGUGGAGGAGGAGACUUGUAUACAACCUUUGGUGAAGGUGUGUAGUAUGGGGGUGGUGGGGAGCUGUAGACGUACGGUGGUGGGGGAGAUUUGUAGACUAUCUUAGGAGAAGGUGAGUAGUAUGGUGGUGGUGGUGAGCUGUAGACGUAUGGUGGUGGUGGAGACUUGUAGUCUACCUUAGGUGAUGGUGAGUAGUAUGGUGGUGGUGGAGAACUGUAAACAUAUGGUGGAGGAGGAGAUUUGUAGUCUACCUUCGGGGUUGGUGAGUAGUAUGGUGGUGGUGGGGAACUGUAAACAUAUGGUGGAGGAGGAGACUUGUAUACAACCUUAGGGGAUGGAGAGUAGUAUGGUGGUGGUGGAGAACUGUAGACAUACGGUGGUGGGGGAGAUUUGUAGUCUACCUUAGGGGAAGGUGAGUAGUAUGGGGGUGGUGGGGAGCUGUAGACGUACGGUGGUGGGGGAGAUUUGUAGACUAUCUUAGGAGAAGGUGAGUAGUAUGGUGGUGGUGGUGAGCUGUAGACGUAUGGUGGUGGUGGAGACUUGUAGUCUACCUUAG
rnacentral:lncRNA from 1 species